rnacentral:rRNA from 1 species
AGCGAACGCUGGCGGCAGGCCUAACACAUGCAAGUCGAACGAACCUUUCGGGGUUAGUGGCGGACGGGUGAGUAACACGUGGGAACGUUCCUUUAGGUUCGGAAUAACUCAGGGAAACUUGUGCUAAUACCGAAUGUGCCCUUCGGGGGAAAGAUUAAUCGCCUUUAGAGCGGCCCGCGUCUGAUUAGCUAGUUGGUUGAGGUAAUGGCUCACCAAGGCGACGAUCAGUAGCUGGUCUGAGAGGAUGAUCAGCCACAUUGGGACUGAGACACGGCCCAAACUCCUACGGGAGGGAGCAGUGGGGAAUCUUGCGCAAUGGGCGAAAGCCUGACGCAGCCAUGCCGCGUGAAUGAUGAAGGUCGUAGGAUUGUAAAAUUCUUUCACCGGGGGCGAUCAUGACGGUACCCGGAGAAGAAGCCCCGGCUAACUUCGUG